UACGAAGGGGGCGAGCGUUGUUCGGAAUUACUGGGCGUAAAGCGUGCGCAGGCGGUUUUGUAAGUCUGUCGUGAAAUCCCCGGGCUCAACCUGGGAAUGGCGAUGGAGACUGCAAGGCUAGAAUCUGGCAGAGGGGGGGUAGAAUUCCACGUGUAGCAGUGAAAUGCGUAGAUAUGUGGAGGAACACCGAUGGCGAAGGCAGCCCCCUGGGCUAAGAUUGACGCUCAUGCAACGAAAGCGUGGGGGAGCAAACAGG
rnacentral:rRNA from 1 species